GGGGUUGUGGUUCAGUGGUAGAGUGCUUGUCUUGUACACAUGAUGCCCUGGGUUCGAUCCUCGACAUCA
rnacentral:tRNA from 1 species